GGUCCCAUAGUUCAACGGAUAGAAUAGUAGUUUCCUAAACUAUAGAUCCAAGUUCGAUUCUUGGUGGGAUCA
rnacentral:tRNA from 2 species